rnacentral:rRNA from 1 species
CAGCCGCCACGGUAAAACGUAGGUCCCGAGCGUUGUCCGGAUUUAUUGGGCGUAAAGCGAGCGCAGGCGGUUAGAUAAGUCUGAAGUUAAAGGCUGUGGCUUAACCAUAGUACGCUUUGGAAACUGUUUAACUUGAGUGCAAGGGGGGAGAGUGGAAUUCCAUGUGUAGCGGUGAAAUGCGUAGAUAUAUGGAGGAACACCGGUGGCGAAAGCGGCUCUCUGGCUUGUAACUGACGCUGAGGAGCGAAAGCGUGGGGAGCGAACAGGAUUAGAUACCCCUGUAGUCCCUGUCUCUUAUACA